UAGGGAAUCUUCCACAAUGGGCGAAAGCCUGAUGGAGCAACGCCGCGUGUGUGAUGAAGGGUUUCGGCUCGUAAAACACUGUUGUAAGAGAAGAAUGACAUUGAGAGUAACUGUUCAUACGUUGACGGUAUUUAACCAGAAAGUCACGGCUAACUACGUACCAG
rnacentral:rRNA from 1 species